CAAUGGGGGGAACCCUGAUCCAGCCAUGCCGCGUGUGUGAAGAAGGCCUUUUGGUUGUAAAGCACUUUAAGCGAGGAGGAGGCUUACCUGGUUAAUACCCAGGCUAAGUGGACGUUACUCGCAGAAUAAGCACCGGCUAACUCUGUGCCAGCAGCCGCGGUAAUACAGAGGGUGCGAGCGUUAAUCGGAUUUACUGGGCGUAAAGCGUGCGUAGGCGGCUUUUUAAGUCGGAUGUGAAAUCCCCGAGCUUAACUUGGGAAUUGCAUUCGAUACUGGGAAGCUAGAGUAUGGGAGAGGAUGGUAGAAUUCCAGGUGUAGCGGUGAAAUGCGUAGAGAUCUGGAGGAAUACCGAUGGCGAAGGCAGCCAUCUGGCCUAAUACUGACGCUGAGGUACGAAAGCAUGGGGAGCAAACAGGAUUAGAUACCCUGGUAGUCCAUGCCGUAAACGAUGUCUACUAGCCGUUGGGGCCUUUGAGGCUUUAGUGGCGCAGCUAACGCGAUAAGUAGACCGCCUGGGGAGUA
rnacentral:rRNA from 1 species